CCCUACGGGGGGCAGCAGUAGGGAAUAUUGCUCAAUGGGGGAAACCCUGAAGCAGCAACGCCGCGUGGAGGAUGAAGGUCUUCGGAUCGUAAAACCCUGUUGUUAGGGAAGAAAGUGCGUGAGAGUAACUGUUCACGUUUCGACGGUAUCUAACCAGAAAGCCACGGCUAACUACGUGCCAGCAGCCGCGGUAAUACGUAGGUGGCAAGCGUUAUCCGGAUUUAUUGGGCGUAAAGGGAACGCAGGCGGUCUUUUAAGUCUGAUGUGAAAGCCUUCGGCUUAACCGGAGUAGUGCAUUGGAAACU
rnacentral:rRNA from 1 species